GAUAAAUUCUGUAAAUAUCUUUACGUGAUGUUCCGUUUGUGAAACUGGUAUAUAAGAUGACUGUAGAACUGUUGUACUUCACAAUCCAUUUUCUGGUCCAGUCUGAAGAAGAUUCGCAGUAAAUACAGUAUGAAGGCCUUUCUCAUUGUGGCGUGUGUGGUUGUUUGUGCUGCAGCACUGAACGAUUUUAACGUUCGUGAGAAGAGACAAGCUAAUAAUUACUAUCAGAGAUAUCAGGAAGAACGUCAGGCAUACGCUGACCAACAACGGCAGAUGUACGACGAGCAACAAGCAGCAUAUCAGGAAUAUGAACAACAACAGAGAGAUGACGCCGAGAGACGAUUCGAAGAACAAAUGGAUGCUCGAUACGGUCGAGGUAAACGUGAAGCUGUUGAUAACAACACUGAAACAGACAGUUUAGUCCGACAGAAGAGACAAGCUAAUAAUUACUAUCAAAGAUAUCAGGAAGAACGUCAGGCAUACGCUGACCAGCAACAACAGAUGUACGCUGACCAACAACGACAGAUGUACGACGAGCAACAAGCAGCCUACCAGGAAUAUGAACAACAACAGAGAGAUGACGCCGAGAGACGAUUCGAAGAACAAAUGGAUGCUCGAUAUGGUCGAGGUAAACGUGAAGCUGUCGAUAACACCACUGAAACAGUGUCUACUCAAGUUAACCAGGAUAGUUUAGUACGACAGAAGCGACAAGCGUAUGGUUAUAAUGUAGGAUACGGUGGUUAUGGAGUACCAGCUGAUCCAGCUAUGGUGUAUGCUCAGAGAUUUGGUAGUGGAUACAGUCAGUCAUAUGGUGGUUAUGGUGGGGGAUAUUAUCCUAAUUCACCAUAUGAUGGUAGAAUCUAUGGACGAUAAACACUCAAACUAUUUGUCUCAUCAAAUUGUAAAUAAUAAUUCUCUUAAUAUAUAACUGAAAUAAAUUUUAUUGACAAUG